rnacentral:rRNA from 1 species
CAAGAUAGGGGGGAGGAAGCGGGCUGGAGACGUAGGCGGGGUUAGUUGUGAGGCAUUAGGGGGCGGAGAGGGUGCGUGGGGGGCUGGGUGCGGCGGGUGUGAAAACCGUGGGGUAAACCGUGGGCUUGUGGCCGAGGCGGGCGGGAGAGGGUGCGGUAGGGGAGAGGGGAAUUCCUGGUGGAGGGGGGAAAUGCGCAGAUAUCAGGAGGAACACCGGGGGCGAAGGCGGGUCUCGGGGCCUAUACUGACGCUGAGGAGCGAAAGCGUGGGGAGCGAACAGGAUUAGAUACCCUUGUAGUC